rnacentral:rRNA from 1 species
AUUGAACGCUGGCGGCAGGCCUAACACAUGCAAGUCGAGCGGUAGAGAGAAGCUUGCUUCUCUUGAGAGCGGCGGACGGGUGAGUAAUACCUAGGAAUCUGCCUGAUAGUGGGGGAUAACGUUCGGAAACGGACGCUAAUACCGCAUACGUCCUACGGGAGAAAGCAGGGGACCUUCGGGCCUUGCGCUAUCAGAUGAGCCUAGGUCGGAUUAGCUAGUUGGUGAGGUAAUGGCUCACCAAGGCUACGAUCCGUAACUGGUCUGAGAGGAUGAUCAGUCACACUGGAACUGAGACACGGUCCAGACUCCUACGGGAGGCAGCAGUGGGGAAUAUUGGACAAUGGGCGAAAGCCUGAUCCAGCCAUGCCACGUGUGUGAAGAAGGUCUUCGGAUUGUAAAGCACUUUAAGUUGGGAGGAAGGGCAUUAACCUAAUACGUUAGUGUUUUGACGUUACCGACAGAAUAAGCACCGGCUAACUCUGUGCCAGCAGCCGCGGUAAUACAGAGGGUGCAAGCGUUAAUCGGAAUUACUGGGCGUAAAGCGCGCGUAGGUGGUUUGUUAAGUUGAAUGUGAAAUCCCCGGGCUCAACCUGGGAACUGCAUCCAAAACUGGCAAGCUAGAGUAUGGUAGAGGGUAGUGGAAUUUCCUGUGUAGCGGUGAAAUGCGUAGAUAUAGGAAGGAACACCAGUGGCGAAGGCGACUACCUGGACUGAUACUGACACUGAGGUGCGAAAGCGUGGGGAGCAAACAGGAUUAGAUACCCUGGUAGUCCACGCCGUAAACGAUGUCAACUAGCCGUUGGGAGUCUUGAACUCUUAGUGGCGCAGCUAACGCAUUAAGUUGACCGCCUGGGGAGUACGGCCGCAAGGUUAAAACUCAAAUGAAUUGACGGGGGCCCGCACAAGCGGUGGAGCAUGUGGUUUAAUUCGAAGCAACGCGAAGAACCUUACCAGGCCUUGACAUCCAAUGAACUUUCUAGAGAUAGAUUGGUGCCUUCGGGAACAUUGAGACAGGUGCUGCAUGGCUGUCGACAGCUCGUGUCGUGAGAUGUUGGGUUAAGUCCCGUAACGAGCGCAACCCUUGUCCUUAGUUACCAGCACGUAAUGGUGGGCACUCUAAGGAGACUGCCGGUGACAAACCGGAGGAAGGUGGGGAUGACGUCAAGUCACCAUGGCCCUUACGGCCUGGGCUACACACGUGCUACAAUGGUCGGUACAAAGGGUUGCCAAGCCGCGAGGUGGAGCUAAUCCCAUAAAACCGAUCGUAGUCCGGAUCGCAGUCUGCAACUCGACUGCGUGAAGUCGGAAUCGCUAGUAAUCGUGAAUCAGAAUGUCACGGUGAAUACGUUCCCGGGCCUUGUACACACCGCCCGUCACACCAUGGGAGUGGGUUGCACCAGAAGUAGCUAGUCUAACCUUCGGGAGGACGGUUACCACGGUGUGAUUCAUGACUGGGGUG